AUGUAUAAAUAAUAUUAAAUAUUUAUUUUUCUUUUCACCGUGCUCUAUGUGUGUGUCAAAACUGUCAGACAAUAGGAAGAAUGCCAAAUUCUGUGAAUGGGAGAGAAUGAAGGAAUGCCAGUUUCUGCGAAUUAACGAAUCAAAGAAUAUGAAAUUGUGAGAAUACGAAAGAAGAUGAAAUUCUGAUACGGGUGUUGCCAUACAAUAAAAUGUGAUACGGCAUUGCCAGUCUUAAAAACAGCUUAAUGAUGAGAAAGGUCACAAAAAUGGACCAAUGAAAUUAAUUUUUUAUAAGGGCAAAGGCAAAUAACAAAUAAAUAUGGAUUAUUUUAAAAAUAUUUUUCAAGGACCUUAAGGCCAAUAAACUUGAA